CUUCGUUCACUCGCGGAAGUUGCUUGCGGCGCACGGUGGGUGUGUCUCAGUGGGCCGCUUGGAUCAGUGAGUACCAGUAUGUUUUCAGAUCUUAAUGGGAGACACCGACGGGCUUCUGGAUUCACAAGAAUAGACUGCAGUAAAGCUUUUAGGAGUGAAAUUUUGGAGAACAGCCUGGUCAAGUGACUUGCUCAGGGUCACCCAGUUUAAGAGAAUCGCCUCACUGAAGCAUCUGGUCCUUCUGAGUUUGUGAUGUUAGUCCUGUGCUGCCCCAAGGAAUACAAGAAUGACAGGCCAGGCGAGAAAACCAACCACAGUCAAAGCACUAAAACCCAACAAGGACACCAGAGACUAAGUCAAAGGCAGCUGCACAAAAUCCUGACUACCAGAACGUCUUCCUCAGCAGGCUGCACCUCCACGUACUUGGAUACCGUUGGUAGUGCAUCGCCAUCUCUUAUACCCAUCGCCACUUUCAGUUGUCUUGUGGUAGAAACGGGUACCACUGCUAUAAAGAGAAAUGACCAUGGUCAGCUCAAAAUGACUACUACUAAAAGGUGGCAAUUCAAUCAAAUGAAAGAGUGAAGCUAAAAAUCUACAACACUUCUAUAGGACCAGAAAAUCAAAACUAAGGACAUAUAGAAAUCCCAACUGUCAUCCCAUGUGUGUCACGUGGAGUGGAGGCAGACCAGAGGCUGCUGUCCCGUGGGCCCCUUGCUGUUUUCAAAGACCUUCCAUCUCCUUACCCAGGGCAGUGGGGGGUUGGUUUUCGCCUACACCCAAAUUUGUUUAAAUCAAAUUGCUUUUUUUUUUUUCUUUUCUUUUUAUGCCAUUUGGGUUAGAAAAUUGUCUGGUUUAAAAAAAAAAAAAGUUUACACCAGGUAUGCCUCUGAAAUGAUUUUAUAAGCAGCACACCCGGCAGAUGUCAGACUGCUGACCUUGAUAAAGCUUAGCUGAUGUUUGGAAUUGGGAUAAAACUGAAAUAAUAAACAUAUACAGUAUAUACUCGUUUGUUGUGACGCCCAUGAUGUCUGAGGUGGAGCAAAACACAACAAGAGAAGCAGAGAGCUGA